rnacentral:misc_RNA from 1 species
UCACCGCUUGCGCGGGCAGUUCCGUUAGAGUCCCCGGCAUUAUCCGCUGGCAACUAACGAUAGGGGUUGCGCUCGUUAUGGGACUUAACCCGACACCUCACGGCACGAGCUGACGACAACCAUGCAGCACCUUGCUGGACGCCCCGAAGGGAAGGCCGGUUUCCCGGCCGGUCGUCCAACAUUUAAGCCCUGGUAAGGUUCCUCGCGUAUCAUCGAAUUAAACCACAUGCUCCACCGCUUGUGCGGGCCCCCGUCAAUUCCUUUGAGUUUCAAUCUUGCGACCGUACUCCCCAGGUGGAUCACUUAAUGCUUUCGCUUGGUCGCUGACAGUGUAUCGCCAACAACGAGUGAUCAUCGUUUACAGCGUGGACUAC